UCAUCAUCCAUUAGAGGGCUUUGAUCCUAGCUUGGAAGAGGGGGCUGUUCAUCGGUUUUCUUGGAGGAAUUUCGGUCAAAAUUUCUGCCCUAAAGCUGUCCAACUAAGUUCUUGAGGAUCUCAAGAGGACUUCGAGGGAACUCCCGGCGAAGCGUCUUAGAGCUAAUUUCUCAAACUUUGACUUUUGAUACUUGGUUUGAAAGUGGAAGUUCUGAGGCUUAAUUAGUGACCCCCAAAAAUAAUUUUUCCCCACAGGGCUCGAGGCCAAAGAAAGCGCUUGUAUUGAGUUAUUAGUGCCUGAAGGGAUAUCUCAUAUAUAAUUUGAAUUCGAUUCACUUGAUAAGUAUUUGAUGUAAUUAUUUGAGAACUGAGGACUUUUGUCUUAU